rnacentral:rRNA from 1 species
ACUCAAAGGAAUUGACGGGGGCCCGCACAAGCAGUGGAGUAUGUGGUUUAAUUCGAAGCAACGCGAAGAACCUUACCAGGGCUUGACAUCCACAGAACCUUAUGGAAACAUAGGGGUGCCUUCGGGAGCUGUGAGACAGGUGGUGCAUGGUUGUCGUCAGCUCGUGUCGUGAGAUGUUGGGUUAAGUCCCGCAACGAGCGCAACCCCUAUCGUUAGUUGCCAGCAUUAAGUUGGGCACUCUAGCGAGACUGCCGGUGACAAAUCGGAGGAAGGUGGGGACGACGUCAAAUCAUCAUGCCCCUUAUGUCCUGGGCUACACACGUACUACAAUGGCCAUAACAACAGGAAGCGAAACCGCGAGGUGGAGCAAAUCCCCAAAUAUGGCCUCAGUUCAGAUUGCAGGCUGAAACUCGCCUGUAUGAAGUAGGAAUUGCUAGUAAUCGCGAAUCAGCAUGUCGCGGUGAAUACGUUCCCGGGCCUUGUACACACCGCCCGU